GGUAAGUUCAGGUAUAUAAAAAGCAUGCAUAGAUAAAACCUGCUAAACCCACUGGGAAAAGAAAAUAGUCACGAGUCUUACAGAAGGAGAUCAACCGGAUUGGCAACAGUUAUUCGUUGCCAUCAUUGCAAUUGGAACCCAGGUGUCUUCUCAGCUGUCCCGAUCCCAGCGUCAUGGUCAGUUGACCUACCGAGAAAACUACCAUGACAAGGGUCAGACUCUCUGAAGAACAUGGCUCUACUCUACAAUGACACGGAAAGACCGAAACCUCCACAAAACAAGAUUCUGCCUUCAGGGGUCCAUUUCAUCUUCAUGUUUCUUAUUCUCUCAGCCCAAUUAGGUCAAUAUAUAUGGAAAGACAAGGGUUUGACACCGGACCUCAUUCCUUUUGAACACUGAGGGGACUAUUGAAGUUAGGGGCAAUUGGACAGUACAAGCGUGUGAGGUAAAUGGUUAAAACACCAUCAUAUCCUACUUUUAAGUCGCCCCAGAAAUCGAAUUCCUCUGAUGUUUUCAAUAAUGGACCGGGGGAAAUGACCGGUACCCAGGUGCCACCCUUAACCCUGCUGAAAAUAGACAUAUGUAAAAACCAAUGGUUUAGCCCCCUGUAGGGGCUAAUGAUGUCCCUUUUAACGUUGGUCUUCUUUUCAUCCGCAUACUCUCUGGGCCAUGCUUAGAGGGGUCUACCAUCACGGAUGUACUCUACCACAGGGGAAGCUAAAAAAUGAACACAUGCACAUGAACACAUGCACACACACACACACACACACACGCAAACAGUGCAGUCAAGGACAAAGUGGAGAAGGAAGCAGGGGAGCGCUCAGCCUAGUUUCUCAAAACUCUUCUGAUGAGACAAGACACUCCCUCUGUCACUGUGAUGUCUCCCAUUCCAGUGUUUCCGUAGAAACUUGAGAGGCUACAGCUCAUCUGGUACACUGCAUUCUCAGUGUUCUAUUCAGCAGUGGCACAGUUGAAUAGAGAAAUGAAUUAGCAGUCCGUCCAUUGAAUGUCCUCCAUUAGAAUUAAUUUAAGUGUGCUGCAUGCUCUGCAAAGGGUUAAAUGAAUAGCUAGGUAACCUGGGAAACGAGCACUCUGGUCCUGGCAAGAGACAGUGGGAUAUAGAACAGGUUGAGUGAAGUUCAAAGGGCCCUCUAUUUCAAGUGCAUUAUACUGUAACUCUUCCUCUUACAAUCAAGGAUCUCUGAAUGUCGAAUGGAUUUCAUAUGUAUGCAAAUGCUUAUCUCCAAACCUGGACAGCGUAGCAAUACCUACAAGGAAGAGAAAAAUAAAGAUUCCCCUCAUGACAAUAAUGAAGAAAUGGGAAAGAGGUGUGCUUUUAUGGUUUAGACCAGUGGGUUAGUGGCUCAGACAAAAUAUUGGCAGAGAUUACAUAUUGUACAUACAGUCCUGAUAAGUUUUUGUACUCAAAAGAUAUCCCAGAAUGCAGUGAAAGGUUGGAAUAGAACGUUCUAAAAGGAGGGCCUAGAGUAGGGUUCUUCUAAAAGGGGAAAUAACGUUUUAGGGAACCUGGGUCAUCCUUUAUAAUAAUUUAUUAAGUCCCUGAUCAAUGAUUGAUAACAUUACUUAGAGCAAUGACUCAAAACAACAUCAAAUCACUGACCACAUAGAACAACUACCACACAACCAUACUCCAGCCUAGUUACUGUGAAUGGGGACAACAAUGAUGUCUGGGAAUGAACUGAUGAAGAAGAGAAGGAGAGAAAGAUAGCCUAACUAAAUACCUUCAUCUAAUCCCUACUUCUGUGACUGACAUUUACACCAUUAUAUCAUCAACAAUCACAACAGUCAUUGCCACAAACAGGAAAACCUCAAGACUGGAAUGAGAAACAUCCAGUGAGUAACUUACUUUGUUCUCAAGACUGGCGUGAUGGGAGCCAAGAUGUAUUCGUUUCUGGCAGAUAGAAAACAAGGCCAAUUUCCUAAUCUAUUUCCAUUCAGCCUCAUUAAACUUUAAUAAAUACAGAACUAUUUAUCAUCACACAGGCCAUUUGGUCGUCAUGUUCUACAGAUGUACUAGAGGAUAAUUCUAAAGCUUUCCGAAUUAAUCUGACUAGAAGACUUGUCCUAGACAAAGCUUCCAAACCUUUUUUUACCCCAAAACUUUUAUCUGCAUCAUGGAAAAUAGUGAACUCUCCACACACGCAGGCACAUAACACAAACCUUCUAUAAACGGAAGCUCAUGUUGAGCACAGCAGUAAUCUCUCUGACAGAUGCCAAAGUUAAAC
ensembl:lncRNA